rnacentral:lncRNA from 1 species
AAAGGUCAUUGUUGGGGGGAAAUAUUAACGAUCCCCUAAGACACCACUUAAGGAAGCAGACACGGAGGCCCGGGCCCACCUAAACGUGAUCAAAGCUCCGCCUCGCCCGACCAAGACGCCAGGAUCGGGAACGUCCGACCCCCUUCCACAAAGUUUCCGCCUCGCCCGACUGCGGCCCCGGGGUCUGGGGCGCCCGACCCCUCGUCACGAAGUUCCGCCUCGUCCGACCCCAAGCGAAGGGGUCGGGCGCGUUGAGGCCCCCGGGGCAAGCAUCCCCCUCGGAUACGGUCCAGAUGGACGAGACCGACAAAAUCCUGUGGGUCCAAUCGUCGGCCUCGCCAUAAAUGCGCCGCAGGCCCGGCAGAGGGAACGGAUGACCGCGCUCCUCACGCAACCUGUCACAAGUACCCGUGCACGACCACACUGUACAGGCUACAGUGCCGGCGGCUGACUCCCAUUCGCCGCAGGGUACUCAUGACUUGCGCCGGCCGGAGCGAAGGAGAGACCGGCCUAUCCUCGGGCCCCGCGCGCCCUCGGGCCCCGCACGGCAAGGAUGUGACGCUCUCUCUCAGGAGCCAUCGCCUGAACAACAGCAUCCACCGUCCUCCCCAGCAGACACCAGGAUAACGAUGGAACGCCCUCAUCAUGACCCGACACCUAUGGGUAUCGAAGGAGCUAUCUGUAGGGAGCAACAACAGUUGGCACACGGCGGCCUCCCCUUCCAGCAUGCACGCCGGCGUUCGCCAGGGGCCGGCAGAGGCGUCGGGCGCCUAGGAACUUGCUCCUCCUCCCUGCCGUGUUUUUACCAUUCUACGCUUUACUCUUUACAGUCCUCUUCACCCGAUCCCAACUGUAACUCCGGCCACCCCCUUGCGAUAUAAAAGGAGGAAUCCAGGGCUGGAGGGGGGAUCGACUUCUUCUCCCACAAGCCACUGCACACAACGACUCUCCUUGAGAGCACGAGCACCCAAAGAGACUUGGGACCAGUCCCUCUCUCGUCGACCUGUAACCCCUACUACAGAACCCCGCGUGGGCAACACGAACAUCCUCGAUACUGGACGUAGGGCUUCCCUUGCCCGAACCAGUCUAAACCCGUGUCUCCCACGCUACCACCUGAGGCUUACGCGCAUAAAAGAAAUUUACUAGUCUAAGUCUUGAUCGGCCGAUCUUGACAACGACAGUUGGCGCGCCAGGUAGGGGACCUUUACGCGUACGUUCCCAGCCUCAGAUGGCCAAUUACGACGGUAGCUUUACUCCGGGCUCCCUGAUCUGAUUCGGGAGCCUGGACUUCCUCGCCACCGCGGAAGGGAUCGAGCUGAUCCCUGUCCUCGUCCUACCCGCUCGCCCAGCUGCCCUCGGCCCUGCCGCCGGGACGGCGGCGAGCGGUCGCUCGCCCACUGGAAGGACCUCACCAAGAGGACAGCCCUUCGGGCUACGCAACGCCACGGGGGCUUACGGACGCCUCCUAGCGCGGUCCUUGACCACGUCGCCCGCGAGCAGCGAGCUCGUAGGCGCGGCAAGGACAAUCUCUGACGCUGGCUCCAGCAGCGGGAGUCCCCACCCCUCGCGCGAGUGCCUUGUGGUCGACGCGCACUCCGAGGGGUCCAACGGCGAUGGUGCCGAGGGGAGACAACGGGUUCCCCCCUCGCGCGCCGCAGCUACAACUGGAGCCUUACCAAGGGCCCCGGAGUGCUCUCGGCAACCAGAAGCACGCGUGGGCGCUCGCCAAGAAGUAGAGCACCCCCACCACGAGGGGGGAGCGCGACAACGGGCGCGUGACGUCCAGCAACGCAUCUGUGCGGACGGAGAGCGUCCGCCGCUCUUUGCCCGCGCUAGCCAAAACGUCGCAGCCGCGGCGGUGUUGCUCCGACAGCUCCCCGAACCAGCGACGCCCGAGGAGCGACGGGCACACCAAGAGAUGCGCAACCUGCUCGAGUGCGCCGCCGUCCAGCAGGCGGAAAGUUUGGCGUCCUGGCGACGCGGGCAGAAAGCCAGCCGGGCGACGCCUGACGCACCCCCAGAACGGCGGGGGGAAUCUGUCCAUCAACCCCCUCCGGGGGCGAAUCAGGCCGCGUCCGCCCGACGGACCCCGCCCCCCGCGGGAGGCGAGGCUCGAUCCGUCCACCAGCGCGUCGGUCUCGUCCGCGACGCCCGCGACACCCUGAAUGCGCGGAGACGCUCCCGCGCGGACAGGGGGGACGGGGCAGAUCGAGGCUACCACGUUCACUGUGGCGGGCGCUACGACAGCGGGGAAGACCGCAGCCCGAGCCCAGGAACGGCUGGGCCUCGGGCCUUCUUCGCGCGCAUCCUAAAUGCGCCCUUUCCGCCGCGCUUCAGGCAACCCACGAGUGUAGCCAAAUACUCAGGGGAGACAAAUCCUGGAGUGUGGCUCAGCGAUUACCAGCUUGCAUGUCAAGCCGGCGGGGCGGAUGAUGACCUGUUUAUCAUCCGCAACCUACCCCUUUUCCUGGCAGACUCCACGCGAGCUUGGCUAGAACAUAUCCCUUCGGGACGCGUUCGCAACUGGAACGACCUGAAAGAGGUUUUCAUAGGAAACUUCCAAGGGACGUACACGUGCCCCGGCAACUCCUGGGAUCUCCGGAGCUAUCGUCAGGGGGCGGACGAGUCCCUCCGGGAUUACAUCCGGCGCUUCUCCAGAAAGCGCACCGAGCUCUCCAACGUCGCGGACGCCGACGUCAUAGGAGCCUUCCUAGCAGGGACCUCUUGCCGGCCCCUCGUCCACGAGCUGGGACGCCGAGGCCCGCGAACCACGGAAGAGCUCCUCAAUAUCGCCACUAGCUACGCCUCCGGCGAAGAGGCUGUCGGAGCGAUCUUCGAUCGUUCCAAAGGCAAGGCGAAACGAGAGGAGGACGCCAACGAAGGCACUUCCAACCGCCAGCAGAAGAAGAAGGGCAAGCAGCGGCGCGAGGCCCCCCUCGUGGCCGCGGUCGAGCGCAAGCGGGGGCAGCCGCCCCCUGAAGGCGCUCCCGGCUUCUUCGACAAGUUGCUCGAGGGACCGUGCCCAAACCACGAGUUCCCCGUCAAGCACGCCUACAAAGACUGUAACCUCAUGAAGAGGUACUUUGUGGGCAAUCCGGUGAAAGGCGACCGGAAGCGGAAGCCCGAUGAGGAAAAGAAGGGCGACGAAGAGAAGGAAGACGGCUUCCCUAAAGUCGACGGCUGCUUCAUGAUCUUCGGCGGCUCUGCAGCGUACGACACCAAGCGCCAGCAAAAGCUGGAGCGCCGGGAGGUCUACGCGGCCGAGCCUGCGACUCCGGCCUUCCUCGACUGGUCCGGGCCGGCCAUCACCUUCGAUAGGUCCGACCACCCUGAACGCGUCCGACAUCCGGGGCGUUACCCUCUCGUCGCGGACCCUAUCGUCGGCACGACGCGCCUCACCAAGGUACUCAUGGAUGGGGGCAGCGGCCUCAACCUCCUCUACACCGAGACUCUCGACGCUAUGGGGAUCGAUCGCUCCCACCUCCGUCCUAGCAAGGCACCCUUCCAUGGCGUCGUGCCAGGGAAGCAGGCGACGCCCCUCGGGCAAAUCGACCUGCCCGUUACGUUUGGGACCCCUUCCAACUAUAGGAAGGAGGUCCUCACCUUCGAGGUGGUGGGGUUUCGCGGAACCUACCAUGCCAUCUUAGGACGGCCGUGCUACGCGAAGUUCAUGGCAAUCCCCAACUACACCUACCUCAAGCUCAAGCUGCCAGGGCCCAACGGGGUCAUCACCGUCGGCACGACCUUCCAGAAGGCAUAUGAGUGCGACGUAGAGUGUUGCGAGUACACCGCGGCCAUCACCGUCACGAGCGGCAUGGCGGUCCAGCUUGCGGAGGUGACCGAAGAUCAACCCGACGCCAAGCAGUCGAAUACCUCCUUCGAGCCCACCGAAGGCAUCAAGGAAGUCCCUCUCGAUCCCGGCUGUUCCAAUGGUGGGGUUGUGCGGAUCAGCGCGGCUCUAUCCCCCAAAUAGGAAAGCGCGCUCGUCGACUUCCUCCGCGCGAACAGCGACGUCUUCGCGUGGAAGCCCUCGGACAUGCCAGGCAUCCCGAGAGAAGUCGCCGAGCAUUCCUUGAACAUCAGGGCCAGCUCCAAACCAGUGAAGCAAGGUUUGCGCCGUUUCGACGAGGAAAGGCGCAGGGCCAUUGGUGAAGAGCUCCAGAAGCUCCUGGCGGCUGGGUUCAUCAAGGAAGUGCGCCACCCCGAGUGGCUGGCCAAUCCUGUCCUUGUACCAAAAAAGAACGGGAAAUGGAGGAUGUGUGUCGAUUAUACCGGUCUCAACAAAGCGUGUCCAAAGGAUCCGUUUCCUUUGCCACGCAUAGAUCAAAUAGUCGACUCAACCGCCGGGUGCGAGACCCUCAGCUUCCUCGACGCAUAUUCCGGCUACCACCAGAUCGCGAUGAAAGAGGCCGACCAGCUCACUACCUCCUUCAUCACCCCCUUUGGUCCCUACUGCUACGUUAAGAUGCCGUUCGGCCUCAAAAACGCGGGGGCUACCUUCCAGUGAUGCAUGCUGAAGUGCUCCGGAGAUCUCAUCGGGUGGACCGUUGAGGCCUACGUCGACGACAUCGUGGUUAAAUCCAGGAAGGGUGACCAGCUCGUUCCCGACCUGGAGCUAGCCUUCGAAAGACUGAGGGAUAAGCGUAUUAAGCUCAAUCCCGAGAAAUGUGUGUUCGGAGUCCCAAGGGGCAUGCUAUUAGGCUUCGUCGUCUCUGUGCGCGGCAUCGAGGCAAACCCGGAGAAGAUGGCGGCCAUCAGCGACAUAGGGCCAAUCCGGAACAUAAAGGGGGGUGCAGCGCGUCAUGGGAUGCUUAGCAGCUCUAAGCCGCUUCAUCUCGCGCCUCGGCGAGCGAGGUCUUCCUCUCUAUCGGCUCCUGAAGAAGUCUGACCGCUUCGAAUGGACCAGCGAGGCCCAGGAGGCACUUGACCGACUCAAGGACCUCCUAACGAAGGCCCCAAUUCUAGUCCCGCCCGCCGACGGCGAGUCCCUCCUGCUCUACGUCGCGGCAACCACCCAGGUGGUUAGCGCGGCCCUGGUGGUGGAGUGGGAGGAGGAGGGGCACGCUCUUAAGGUGCAACGCCCGGUGUACUUAAUCAGCGAAGUCUUGUCCGAGUCCAAGACACGAUAUCCACAGAUCCAGAAGCUCGUCUACGCCAUCCUCAUCACGAAGAGGAAGCUGCGUCACUACUUCACCUCCCACCCGGUAACGGUCGUUUCAUCAUUCCCGCUUGGUGAAGUAAUCCGGAACCCAAAUGCUAUAGGGAGGAUCGCGAAGUGGGCGCUUGAGCUUAUGGACCAGGGUAUCACCUACGUCCCCCGCACCGCCAUCAAGUCCCAGGCACUUGCCGACUUCGUGGCCGAAUGGACGGAGGUGCAAGCGCCGUCGGCGCCAGAAGAGCGGGAGUACUGGACGAUGUACUUCGACGGGUCACUGAUGAGGGCCCGCACCGGAGCAGGCCUCAUCUUCGUCUCUCCAUUGGGCGUGCGCAUCAGGUACAUGAUCCGCCUCCAUUUCCCUGCAUCCAAUAAUGUUGCCGAGUACGAAGCCCUACUCAACGGGCUCCGUAUCGCCAUCGAGCUGGGUAUCCGUCGGCUAGACGUCCGGGGCGAUUCCCAGUUGGUCGUCGAACAAGUCAUGAAGGAGUGGAGCUACCACGACCCCAAAAUGGCAGCCUACUGCAACGAGGUCCGUAAGCUCGAGGACAAGUUCGACGGGUUGGAGCUCAACCACGUCGCAAGGCGCUUCAACGAAGCCGCUGACGAGCUGGCGAAGGCGGCGUCCGGCCGGAUGCCCGUCCCCGACGGCGUUUUCGUUAGCGACCAGUUGAAGCCUUCAAUCCGUUAUCUGGAGCCGGCAGGGGUCGGCGAAGCACUCCCAGCCCUGGGGUCGGGACCCGAGCCGGGGGAGGUCGGCAACGCGCCACCUGUCUCGGACCCGAGCACCGGUCCCGAGGGAAUCAACGUUGCCUUACCCGACUCGGCCCUGGAAGCCAAGCCAUCCGACCCCGUGGUCAUGGAAAUCACGGCAGACCCCGCGGCGGGGGCCGACCCCCCAAUCGACUGGAGAGCCCCGUACCUCGACUACCUUGUCCGCGGUACGCUCCCGGCAGACAAAACAGAAGCCCGCAGGAUCGCGCGCCGUGCAAAAUCCUUCACCAUCAUCGACCAGGAGCUCUACAAGAGAAGUCACACUGGGAUCCUCCAGCGCUGCAUCCCGAUCGAGCAGGGAAAGGCGCUGAUCCAGGAUAUCCACGCCGGGGCUUGUGGUCACCACGCCGCGCCAAGGACACUCGUUGGCAACGCCUUCCGACAAGGUUUUUACUGGCCAACCGUGGUCGCGGAUGCUACCCAGGUAGUCCGCACCUGUGAAGGAUGCCAGUUCUUUGCCUGCCAAACUCACCUGCCCGCGCAAGCGUUGCAAACCAUCCCCAUCACAUGGCCGUUUGCGGUCUGGGGGCUGGAUCUCGUCGGACCCUUCAAAAGGGCGCCCGGGGGCUUCACCCAUCUGCUCGUCGCUAUCGACAAGUUCUCCAAAUGGAUCGAAGCAAGACCAGUGGCGCAAAUCAGGUCCGAGCAGGCGGUACAGUUCUUCACCGACAUCAUCCACCGCUUCAGGAUCCUAAAUUCCAUCAUCACCGACAACGGCACGCAGUUCACCGGGAAGAGAUUUCUCCAGUUCUGCGACGACCACCACAUUCGAGUGGAUUGGGCGGCAGUGGCGCACCCCCGCACGAACAGGCAAGUCGAGCGAGCCAACAGCAUGAUACUCCAGGGUCUCAAGCCACGGAUCUUCGACCGCCUUAAAAAGUUCGGCGGACGGUGGGUUGCGGAGCUCCCAGCAGUCCUCUAGAGCUUGAGGACGACCCCCAGCCGGGCGACGGGGUUCACCCCGUUCUUCAUGAUCUACGAGUCAGAGGCCAUUUUGCCCACCGACCUAGAAUACGGGUCGCCGAGUGUCAAGGCGUACGACGAACAGGGAAACCAGGCGUCACUCGAGGACGCACGAGAUCAACUCGACGAGGCGCGAGACGUAGCCCUGCUACACUCGGCUAAAUACCAGCAGGCCCUAUGGCGUUACCACAGCCGCAAGAUACAAGGCCACGCCUUCAACGUCGGUGAUUUGGUGCUCCGCCUCGUCCAGGACAACAGGGGUCGGCACAAGUUGACUCCCCCAUGGGAAGGCCCGUUCAUCGUCGUACAACUACUACGACCAGGCACCUGCAAGCUGGCAACUCCCGACGGGCAAAUCUUCAGCAAUGCCUGGAACAUAGAACAGCUAAGGCACUUUUACCCAUAGCUUUUAUUUCCAAGUUCUGCAUAAACUUACCGUCAUUUCCGUUCUUUCAUUUAAGCUCAGGGGCAUCCGACCCUGGCCUCGUUCCAGGGCCGCAUACCCCUCGGGGGCUACCACUUUUGUUCUUCUGCGAAAAAAGAAACCCCGAGCCACCUCGGUUCAGGCCUUUUUCCUUUAAGCUCAGGGGUAUCCGACCCUGGCCUUGCUCCAGGACCGCAUACCCCUCGGGGGCUAUCAGGGGUCCCAACCCAAGCCGCUGGGCACCAUCUAAAAAGAAAACGUUUUUUUUUCAAACCGAACACUCCCUUUCUAGACCUUUGGACGCAAAAAAGAGAAGGAUGCGUGAACGGUGCUCAGGCAAGAUUUGAUCGGACCGCGAAAAAACCUACGCCCCAGCGGCUACGGCACCUUUGCUCAUCAAAACUUACUGACGCACCCGGCAAUGCAUCCUAAGCUUUCAAGCCCAAAGGAACAACAAAGGGAAUCGGGUUCUUUCAUGCAACAAAAGUCAUAGAACAGGCCCGUAUGGCCAACGCGAAACGAGUUCAAGGCUGACAUAAUUACAAACUUUUUUGGGGCGCAAGCCCGGCACAGCUAACUUGGCGAGGGGUCGGCAGGAGGGGCGGCCUCAUCCUCCAGGAGCUUCGCGAGGGCCUCCGCCGACGCGGUCACCGCGGCGUCGAUCUCGUCCAGCUCAGCUUCGGUGUAGCCCGUGGUGUACCCUUCACUCAUCCCGGCAAAGUUGAUGCCAGAAUAGUGAGAGCCGAAGACCCCGAAGGCUCGCCGCACGCCAAGGUGAAGCGCGUCCACGGCGAUCUCGCGACGCCGAUGGCGUACCCCGAGGCCACGAGCCGGCAGAGAGCUCGACCCCUCCUCCGGAGCUACGCCAAAGUCGUCGCAGACGACGCGGGCCGCAUCUCGCAGGGCGCUGUGCUCACCGCGCUCCUCGUCGAGCAGACCCCGCAACUUGGCGAUUUCACCUGCAGAAACCCCCCAGGAACCCAUCGCCGGAAGAGGGAGGAGAUCGACGGAGACGGGAAGAAGAGCGCGCGGCUUGGAGCGGAGGAAACGAGGCGAGCGCGGAUGAACUGAGCGUGAAGCUGGGAGGCAAGAAGGCUCGAAUGCGGAAGGAAGGCGAAACCGGCGCGGCGAGCCCCUGCUUUUAUAGGAAAAGUAACGGGGAAGCCAAAUCGACGCCCCGGUCGCCAUAAAUGCAGCGCCAAGUACGCCCCUGCCACGCCCGUUUCCUUUUCGAAAACCGCACGCACGAUCGGCCGCGAAAACAUCCUAUCCUCCUCGAUUCGCGGGACGGCGCUCCCCAUAACUCCACUUCCCGGGUAGCGCGCCCACGAUGCCUCCCACGUUCGGCCCAGGCGCAACGACCGCUCUGCUCUGGCCCAAGGCCCACAGGGAGGUAAGAAAGGGAUACGGGGCUGAAAAUGCCCCUACGGCCCAUUACGGUCCAGAGGUUCGAAAGCUGGCCCGACACGGGUUCGACAGCUGCCUCAGGACAACCCCCGAGCAAGGGGUGAGAAGGGACGGGCCCGCUAGCGGCCAAUACCCAGGCGAGCGAAAGCCAAGGGCGUCCCAAUCUCACGUUCGAGUCCCGCCCGGUAUAAAAUUCAUGGUUUUUCCACGGGGAAAGGCAACGAGCCCCCAGAUCCGGUCGAACGGAUCCGGGAACUAUAUGAACUGGCCGGCGGGAAAUUGGAGUGCGCCACCAGCUUGGCCCGAGCCGGACCCCCCCCGAACGGGGACCGGGACUCCACUCGAACCUACCCGUUUGCAGCUCAAACGAGCACCACGGUUUGUCCAACGCGGAUAACGUGGCCCGGCUCAACCCCUCCGUCCUAGCGAACGGACGCCUGAGGGACAACGAUCAAAAGUCGACCUAGCCUCCCGAUCGGUUUCCUGCAACGAGCAGGAGCUCGGGGGCUAGUUUCGCAACCAACUACCACACGUGUGGUCACAAUUCGAAGGUUCCCCAACUAGGCUAAAAUAAACCAAACGCGCCAUAAAAUAGAGCCCGCGGCAAAACAGCGAAAGAAGCCUCCGGAGGAGCACUUCUGCUCCACCACAGGCUCGGGGGCUACUGUUGGGGGGAAAUAUUAACGAUCCCCUAAGACACCACUUAAGGAAGCAGACACGGUGGCCCGGGCCCACCUAGACGUGAUCAAAGCUCCGCCUCGCCCGACCAAGACGCCAGGAUCGGGAACGUCCGACCCCCUUCCACAAAGUUUCCGCCUCGCCCGACUGCGGCCCCGGGGUCUGGGGCGCCCGACCCCUCGUCACGAAGUUCCGCCUCGUCCGACCCCAAGCGAAGGGGUUGGGCGCGUUGAGGCCCCCGGGGCAAGCAUCCCCCUCGGAUACGGUCCAGAUGGACGAGACCGACAAAAUCCUGUGGGUCCCCUCGUCGGCCUCGCCAUAAAUGCGCCGCAGGCCUGGCAGAGGGAACGGAUGACCGCGCUCCUCACGCAACCUGUCACAAGUACCCGUGCACGACCACACUGUACAGGCUACAGUGCCGGCGGCUGACUCCCAUUCGCCGCAGGGUACUCAUGACCUGCGCCGGCCGGAGCGAAGGAGAGACCGGCCUAUCCUCGGGCCCCGCGCGCCCUCGGGCCCCGCACGGCAAGGAUGUGACGCUCUCUCUCAGGAGCCAUCGCCUGAACAACAGCAUCCACCGUCCUCCCCAGCAGACACCAGGAUAACGACGGAACACCCUCAUCAUGACCCGACGCCUACGGGUAUCGAAGGAGCUAUCUUUAGGGAGCAACAACAGUUGGCACACGGCGGCCUCCCCUUCCGGCAUGCACGCCGGCGUUCGCCAGGGGCCGGCAGAGGCGUCGGUCGCCUAGGAAAUUGCUCCUCCUCCCUGCCGUGUUUUUACCAUUCUACGCUUUACUCUUUACAGUCCUCUUCACCCGAUCCCAACUGUAACUCCGGCCACCCCCUUGCGAUAUAAAAGGAGGAAUCCAGGGCCGGAGGGGGGAUCGGCUUCUUCUCUCACAAGCCACUGCACACAACGACUCUCCUUGAGAGCACGAGCACCCAAAGAGACUUGGGACCAGUCCCUCUCUCGUCGACCU